rnacentral:misc_RNA from 1 species
UCUCCGUAGGUGAACCUGCGGAAGGAUCAUUCAUAAUAAAGUGUUUUAUGGCACUUUUUAAAAAUCCAUAUCCACCUUGUGUGCGAUGUUAGAUCUCGUCAAUCUUGGCGAGAUUUUUAUACAUCAACUCAUUUUUUAACUAAUUUGUCUGAAAAAUAUUAUGAAUACUUAAUUCAAAAUACAACUUUCAACAACGGAUCUCUUGGUUCUC